GUGGAUGUAGCCAAGUGGACCAAUGAAAUGGAUUGUGAAUCCAUGAUGCAUGGGUUCAAUCUCUAUCAUUCACC
rnacentral:tRNA from 1 species